rnacentral:lncRNA from 1 species
UGGGUUGUGCUUACCGAAGCGACUAGGUCGCCCUUUAUGUCUAAGAAAUGAGAUUUCAUAUUGAUGCAUGUUGACAUAUAAUGUGAGAUGCUAGAGAAUGUAUUUGACAUAAUAUAAGAAUGUGAAAAGAAUGCAUGUUAACAUAUUAUAGAAAUGCAUGUGAUUAAUGCUUUGAAUGCAUAAGAUAAAGGGCAUAUGAAUGUUAACAUUAUAAGUUUACAUGAUAAGCAUGCAUGUGGAUAAUGCUAAGUAAUGGUAUGAUAAGCAUGAUGUAGAAAUAAUAAAUGCAAGCAUGUGGCUAAUACUAAGUUAUACUUAAUGAUCAUGUUGCAGAAAUACUAAUGUUAAGAAAUGGAAAUGUGCAUAUGGACAAAUCUAUAUACAUUAGAUCGAGUGGCAUUGAACCUAGAGUCAUGGACAUAGGUUGAACAUGGAGGAUAUGAACCUAGUGUAUUGAACCUAGCUGACACUUGUAGCAUUGAGCAUAUAUUUGUAUCAUUCAUACAUAAUAGGGCUAACUACAUGUGAACCUUGGUUACUUUCAAUGACAUGUUUCUAACGUAGUUGAACAUAGAGAAAGAUAGAACCAUAAUGAACUUGUAUGUUAGAACCCUAUUAUUAGGUGAAUGUGAGAGUUGGACUUGGACAUUAGUAAACAAAGACGACAUUGACAAUAGAGACAUUGAUAUGCAUAGAGGAUAUAGUUGUUAAACAUAGUUUAACCAAGAGUGGCAUUGGACCAAUUUGACAUAGAGUAGCAUUGGACCAAGUUGACAUAGAGUGGCAUGAUUAAAUAGGUAGAAACCUAUUGUGACAUUGGCAUUGUGACUAGUGGCUAUAUAUCCUCAAGUUGAGGAUUGGAUCGACACUCACAAUAAGUCUUGGCUUGAGGGAGGUAGCUCCCCCUCGGGCGGUGCGCUCCGGAGUUGGUCACCACUGGGCGUGGUAAAGUCCCACCAGUUGACGGUCCCUAGGGAGGUUCGAGUCCCCCGUUAUUAAGGGAUUUGGUUGUGAGUUAUUGGGGUUAACAUGGUUAACCGGUAAGAUUGGGUGAAAGCCAAGUGAAUGUACAGCAUUAUGUGUUACGGGUUUAGUAUCCCAGUUGAGAGGAUUUAGGGCUGAGGUGUAUGUGAGACGUCCAUCACCUCGAGCCUAGUUUUGGUGCGGUAUUCCGCAGUUGAUUGACUCGAGACCGAGUCGGGUGGUUAGCUUGGCUAGGGUAGAGGAAAACCUUAGGAGCAAAUAACCAAUGAUGUAAAGUGAUAAGAUGUAUAAAUUAUGAAAAAGCUAUGGAUAGCAUGAUACAAAAUAAAAUCAUUUCUUCUACUUGUAUAGUUGCAUGAUUCGCAUAUAGCAUGGCAUUAUUGCAUUCGUGAGGCAAAGAAUGGUUUUAUUAGUUGCAUAAUAAAGAUAUAUAUCUAUCUGUUUAUUGAACUAACUUGCAGUUGCCUCCCUUGGACCUAUUGGUCGAACUUUUCCCUUGGGUGGCCGUACCCACUGGGAACCAUGGAGUUGGUUCUCACCCCAUGUGGUUUUGGGGUGUUUACAGGUUCGCACGUGAGCGGCGCGGCGGCGCGAGGCGAGGGCGUAGUUCCAUAGUUAGCGCCCUACCACCGAGACCAGAGAUAGCGGUACCCUGAGUCGGCCUUACUUAGGGAUGCAAGAAAAUGAAAAGGAAUAAGAUUGUAUUAAUCGUGUUAAAUCGGAUUGUAUUUGGAAGCUAAAAAGAAUGUAUUAUGUAAUUGUGAUGUAGAAUGAAUCUAAUGUGAAUGAAUGUAAUAAUCUAGGAUGUGUUUAUGUUGUUUGAUACCUUCCAUUAUGCAAUCUUGAUUGAAAUGUGUUCCUGGUUGGAACUUCGUACAUUGUAUUGGUUGCUAUGCCUUGAACGUACAGGGGAGACUCUGUCCGUAGCACAGGGAAAACCCUGUCCGUUCGGCGAUCUGUCUGCGGCGCCGCGACCCGGCCAAAUAGGCGGGCGGUCGCGGGGCGUGACAGGUAAGAUGGUAUCAGAGCAUAAAAAGAACAUAAAAAGAAUAAUAGAAAAUGGUUUAGUUGGACCUAGGAGAUCCUAGGAUAGUAAACCAUAGGAGAUUAAGGCUCGUGAGAGACGAGGACUUGUUUCUUUUGGCGAAAGGUUAAUUGAUUGGGUUAUGUCACAAACCUCUAAAACGGAUGUUAGAGGUAGACUCAAGGUGAGGUUUAUUCUCAACAGAGGGUGUUCAUGUUGGGUGCACACAACAUGAAACCGCGUAAUGAGAAUAGACGCCUUUGCGUGACUUUCGCCCGAUUUGAGUUGGUAUUAAGUGUUUCGUGUUCGACCUAGAAGGUCGAGGAUUAAUAAGGUUGUCGCAUUUUAGGAAGCGAUAGUAACGCGUAGGCGAUCUUCUUUUAGAUCGGCGCGAGAUGGGCCAAGUGGUGUCCCUGGGCAAUUUGAGGCGAGCGGAGACUUGGAACUUCGCGAGUUUUGGCGGCCUUUGUGACCUUUGAGAAAUUAACAGAAUCCUCGUCGUGUUAGAUCACUUUUGGUCAAAUUGACCAAAGUGCGUCGAGAGAAGUAGUUGGACAAAGUCCAAUUGACAUUCCAAUAAUGUUGGAAGGGUUAGAAUUGAGUUCUAAAAGAGUUGGAAUAGUUUUAGCGUUGCUUGGCGUGAAUUGGAGUCGAAGCGAUACAAAACUGAAAUUCUGGAAUAUGUGUUACCAGUUUAACACCAGGGGUGUACUGGUACAGUAUGGUUGUAACGAAGUGAAUUCCCGAGAGCCGAGAGUUGGACUUCGUCCGGGAUCGGCUAGUUAUCGAGUGGGUAUGUAAUAUACCGAAAUUUCGGUAACCAAGUAUCGAACCUUGGUCAAAUUGACCAAAGAGCGAGGUUGGUACGCUUUGGAAAGGCCGAAGGCGUCAAAUAAUGCAAAAGUGCAUUACUGGGGAUCUUCGAGAGCCUUGGAAAUGAAAAUCUGCAAACUGCAGGUUUUCUGUUCUCGGAGACCGGUCCCUGUGGGGAGAGACCGGUCCCCGAACGCGCAGGCAGCAGGAGGAGAGAAAAAUCGGCUAAGUCCUUGGUGGACAGCUCUCGGAGACCGGUCCCUGCUGGAGAGACCGGUCCCUGAGAGACCGGUCCCCCAAAGAGAGAUACCGGAUGCAUCGGGCGUGAGCUCUGCUGACUGCGGGGAGAAGCUCUCGGAGACCGGUCCCUCGUCGAGCAGACCGGUCCCCGAACCCGAGAGUGGCCCAGUGAGGGCAAUGUAAAAGAAUAAAAGUUGAGGGGCUUGUUUGCACUUAUGCAACAUGUGGGGCUAUGUGAGGGGUAUGAGAGCUCUUUUCUCUUAUUUCUCACCUACACACCCUCUCAUAUCUCUCUUUCUCUCUCUAGAAGACAAGAAGAGGAAGAAGAAAGAAAAGGAAAGAAAGAGAAGGAGAAUGAGGUCUACCUCAUUUUCUUCAUCUUCUCCUUGGUUGGAGCUUCUUGGAGAGGUAAGCUUCUAAGCUCUCUCUCAUGGUGGAUUUCUAGAGAUAGAUUUGAUUGCUCUAGAAAUAAAGUUUUGUAUUAUCUGAGGACGUAGUACCUGCCAGUACAGGUAUAGAGCCAAAUGGCACUAGUGAAGUGCUAGAAGUAAUCUAUGGCGAGAAGUGAGACUCGCGGUAGAGAUAGAAGUGUCGAAAUGACUCUCAGAGCAAUAUGAGUAGUAAAUUGCGGGAGUCGAGCCAUAAUGCCUAUGGGCACCCGAAUAGUCCGAAAAUUUCGGAUGUCAUUCCGGUAGAUCGAACAGUGAAUGUAGCAUCACUGUUGAGAGAACGGUCGAUUAGUGGCCAAGUUUGAGCACGUGGGCCUAGUAGUACCUCAAGGUGAGGUAGGCGAUUGUGCUCGUGCGGUCGGUGUGCAUAGGCAAGAUUGCCUAAUGCUGGACUUACUGUGGAACGCUGUAGAGGCGUAGAGCGAUCGAGUGUAGAUACCCGUAGAGUGCGGAUGUGAAUUCAGCCGAGAGAGUGUAUUGGCAGUAGCACUUGAGCAUUGCUAGGUGUGAAGCGUGCCAUCGAUCACUCGUGGGACUGGUGACUCGCACUAGGUGCAUAGGAACCGAUAUUGGUACGUGUGACUCGGUAGAGUAUGUCGUGUAGGACGACGACGGCGGGUAGUGCUUGGGGACGACCCGUGCCUGGACCAUUUGUGGACUGUGGAGCCUGGGCCCAUUGGGCAGGCGCAAUCAGCUAUGAGUGACAGCGGCCCAGUACCUAUGGGUAGGGCAGAGUUCUGGUCAGGACGGUAGUUCGAGCUUAGACCCGGGAGCGUGGACUGCCACGUGAUAGAUUGUGUGACUAAUGGUACACCGAGUAUGGUUGUGACCCAACCCGAGGACUUGACGUGGUUUGGGAUCUUAGUUGCUCCUGGUUGGAGUGUGUGCGAAUUCCGAAGUGAGAAUUUCGCCCGAUCAUGAUUGGGUCUGCAUUUGCGAGCGAGAGACGCUGCGUAUUGAGACAGGUUUAAGCUAUAGGCCUACGUAGGAUUGGUGGCCUUUGGUCCACCUGUGGAGACCAAAGAGAGCGAUUUGGCAGGUGGCUUUAUCAAGGAGUUUGACUCGAAUUUACGAACGAAGCGCUCGCGUGAGCUCGUUGCGAAAGUAGUUCGAUGUUGACCGUGGCAUAUGGUAUCAGAAGAUGAAGUGCUCUUGGUGAGACCUUGAGCGAGUAGUAAGCCACGUGGACUUGGAGGAUUGGAAUUGGGGAUGUGCUAAGAUAGGCCAUCUCACGUUAACGUUUAGGGUCAGUGCCAAAUUAGAGCACUCACGACGAAGUGAUGCACCGGUGAUAUUGCUUCUAAGCAAUGUCGGUGAUCGAAUUGGAAUGUAUUCCCUGAAGGGAAGGUAAGUGCAAAGAAGAGUUCUUUGUAUACCGAAUGGCGAGUGGUGUUGGAGCGCGUAGAGUCGUCGAGUACCGACUUGCGCUGCCACUAUGACUUGCAAGACCCGUGAUGCACGUUUGUAUCACACUUUGCAAAUGCAUUUAGGAUUAAACACAUGUCCUUCAGAUUGAGCCGCUUCUCAAACACGAUGGUGUGGAGCCGCUCUGGAGUGAAAGAAUGAGUUAGUAUCCUCAAUUGCUCGAGGAGCUGAAUUGAGGUGCUGUUUGAAUUUCGCGGACGAAAUUCUUUUGAGGGGUGGAGAAUGUAACAUACCAGAUUUUGGUAUAAAAAUAAAAAUAAAUAAAAAUAGUGUGAGAAACUAUUUUUAUUGGAUUUAUAGAAGUAAAAUAUAAGUCAGAAGUGACUUGUGCUGAAAUCGGAAUGAAAACAGAAGAUCUAGGAUUUUCUGUUGGAAACGGGACAGAUAAAUUAGCAGAAAAUGCACAGUCUCAGAAAAUUAUGAAAAUUGGCGGAUAAGUCAGAAAUAUUUUUAUGAGGCUAGAUUUAAAGUUUCAUAUUUUUCUGACACCCGUAGAGUGAGAAAUAAAAUCCGAGAGUUAUCUGAUAAAGAUUACAGUUCGGCACAGUUUUCAGUGACCAAACGGGGUCGAAACUGAACCAGCACUCGUCAGCUUGUUAAGUUAAGUAAAACCGAACAUGACUGUCAAGUUUGAGCUCAAACGGACACUCAGGGAGCUCCGGCGAAAGUUAUCAAAUUUCAAGCUGCCCGGGAGUGAAUAGUGUCGGGUGUAUUAUAAAGAAGCUGAAGCUUCUUCUUCCUCUCCUUCAGCCCGAGCACACCCACACCCACGCACGCAUGGAGUAGAGAGAGAAACGCCUCUACCACUCUCUAGAGAUCUCUCUCAUCUCUCUAAAUCUCUCUCUAAAAAUUGGAGGGUUGGUGGAGAAGAUACUUGCGAACGCGUUGGAGGCGACGGAUCGGGCUUUCGUGCGGCCGUUGGAGCGGUGUGUUGUCGUCGCGGCGUUCACAUUGAGGUAAGCUUUUAGGAUUUGGCUUAAUCCUUAGUUUUAAGUGUUCUAAUAGCCUUUAAUGAGCAUUCUAAACAUGUUUGCUCUAUUUAAUUUGGAUUAUUUAGAGAUUAAUUACAUGUUAGGGCUCCGAAUGGGGUUUUAUAAAAUAUAUGGGUUUGAUCUCAUUUGACCCUCCGUAAACCUAAUUGCUAGGUAAACGAACGCGUUGGCGAAGACGGUUCGGCGAUUCGUCGAGCCGUUACAAAGUUAUUAAAGAAAUGGACGUUUAGGCUUCGGGUCCGCCGGGAGGGCCGAGGCGAUAUCGUAAAUUCAUGAAAAUGGAUUUGAAGCAUCGUGGCACAUAACCGAAGAACUUUAAUUUUCGGAUCGUGAAUUGGAGGCCGUUCGGGUGGUCGCGCGAGAGAUCGGGCCAAACCGGAUGCCGGGUGCCGCGGGCCGAUUACAAGUGUCGACAAGCAAUCGGAAUGCGAAAUGAGGUGGGUUGUGCUUACCGAAGCGACUAGGUCGCCCUUUAUGUCUAAGAAAUGAGAUUUCAUAUUGAUGCAUGUUGACAUAUAAUGUGAGAUGCUAGAGAAUGUAUUUGACAUAAUAUAAGAAUGUGAAAAGAAUGCAUGUUAACAUAUUAUAGAAAUGCAUGUGAUUAAUGCUUUGAAUGCAUAAGAUAAAGGGCAUAUGAAUGUUAACAUUAUAAGUUUACAUGAUAAGCAUGCAUGUGGAUAAUGCUAAGUAAUGGUAUGAUAAGCAUGAUGUAGAAAUAAUAAAUGCAAGCAUGUGGCUAAUACUAAGUUAUACUUAAUGAUCAUGUUGCAGAAAUACUAAUGUUAAGAAAUGGAAAUGUGCAUAUGGACAAAUCUAUAUACAUUAGAUCGAGUGGCAUUGAACCUAGAGUCAUGGACAUAGGUUGAACAUGGAGGAUAUGAACCUAGUAUAUUGAACCUAGCUGACACUUGUAGCAUUGAGCAUAUAUUUGUAUCAUUCAUACAUAAUAGGGCUAACUACAUGUGAACCUUGGUUACUUUCAAUGACAUGUUUCUAACGUAGUUGAACAUAGAGAAAGAUAGAACCAUAAUGAACUUGUAUGUUAGAACCCUAUUAUUAGGUGAAUGUGAGAGUUGGACUUGGACAUUAGUAAACAAAGACG